rnacentral:tRNA from 1 species
AUUAUUUUGGCAGAAAAGUGCAAUGAAUUUAGAAUUCAUGAAUGUAAUUUUUAUUACAAAUAAUA